AUAUCCUCUAUUUUGUGGUCGGCUAGAGUGAAAUGACGUCUGCUACACGUUUUGUGUUUGUCUCGAAAAUCUCGCGUCUUUUCUCGAAUGUGAAACUCAUGUUGUGAUGAUGCUGAUGAUGAUGAUGAUGAUAAACUGAAUAACUGUUACACAAUAUUAAAAGGUCAUCCAAAAAUACUUUCUUCCCAAUUUACUUCUUUACUUCGCGAAUAUAUUUAUACAAUAUUACUAUCGAAAAGUUUUCUUCUGAAUUUCCUUAAUAGUUCAAAUUUCGUUGAAAAAAAAUGGAUCCAGACGAACCAAAGAGGAAAAAAUUCAAACUUCUAAUGAAGGCGUCAAUAACGGAAAUGUUUGAUAUUUCCAAAGAUUGGAUGAAUGGUGAAAAGUUUGCAGUUUGCCGCAUGUGUUCCGAUCAACGAGCUAUUAAAAUGACAAAUUCAAAUACUUCGGGUCUUCACAGACAUCUAAAAUCUCAUCAUUCUAAGAUUUAUGAAGGGAUUCUUAACGAGUGUCACGGAGAGGAUACUUCGCCUAUUUUCAUUCAAGUUGAUGAUUUAAGAAAAGAACAAGAACGAGAACCGAUUUCGAAAUCAGAAUUAAUGAGUAUGUUUGAUAUUAAACGUGAUGAAAUUAAUGGUGAAAAAUAUGCUGUGUGCAAAUUUUGCAAAGAUUAUCGGGUUAUAAAAAUGACUAAAUCGAAUACAUCAGGAUUGCAUAGGCACGUGACUAGGUACCACAAUAGAGUUUACAACAAAGGACCACAAGAAGAAACGUUUGAAGAGAUGUCGGAUUUCCCGGCGGAGGGGGGCGAAAAUGGAGACAUGCACGCAGUCAUGGAAAAUUUUCAAAAAAAAAAUAACUUGAUAGGUGGAAGGACACAUGUAACACACACACACCACCCACAGGUCACAUCAUCUUCACAGAUGCUGACAAAUCAGAGCCAGAGCAGCAGUUCGAGCACUACCACCACGAGUAGUACGAGUAGGGUGGCCAAAUCCUCGCAGAGGAUUCUCACCUCGUCAUCAAGUGAAAUGAAAACAAGUUGCGUGAAAAAAAAUCUUCAGGAAAUUCAACAGGGCAUGGCCGAAAUGAGAAAUAUCUCGACAAAUUUCUCUCACAGGCUACGGAAUAGCAUGGAAAAUCUUGUCGAUCGGGACGGAAGUGGGACCGAGGAAGGAGACCUCACAGAGCCUUUGGUAACUUUUCCAGAUCCUGACACUCCACCACCUGUUACUGGAACUGUUUCCAUUACAGGAUCACCGUCACAACUAACCUCUCUAAACAAUCUUCACAGUAUAAGUCCGCCGUUAAAUAUCACUAGUAUGCCCAGUUUGCCAUCUGGCCAAGAGACUAUGAAAUUUGAGCAGAAAAAAAUGACCAGUGCUUCGAAAACAAAGGUCGUCACGGAUGGUUUUAGUGCGGAAAAAGCAAUUGCAAACACAGCUGAAAUGAGAGCAGUUCAAGCUGGCGAUGUAUCAUAUAAAGAACAAAGUGCAGCAAGCGCAGCGAGGGCACGUGUCGAAAUUGAUGGGGUUUCAGCUGAAAAAAGCGUCGCUGCUGCUAGAGAGCAGAGGAGUUUGAAAGCCGGCGAUCUUUCGCAUCAGGAGAGCAACAAUAUGGCAGCAUCCACGAUGAAAUUGCAGAGCGAUUCUUUCAGUUCGGAAAAGAAAGCAAUGGCUGCUCAGCAACAACGUCAGACAGUAACAUCCUCUGGAGUAUUUAAUCACGAAAAAGUUGUCGCCGCCACAUCGCAAUCGAGUAUAUCGUACAAUUCGAAAAACGUCACAUCCAAAUCGUCAAUGAUCAGUGCGGCGAGUGCAGUGAAUCAAUUAAUGAACGGCAUGCGAUAUAAUGACGACGAACUUUUAUCAUUACCACUCGACGAUCUCGAUCUACUUUGCACCAAUUCCAAUCCCCAGGAUGUCGAUUUGGCAAUAAAGAAAUAUUCCGGAUUCCUCGAGACAUUUGUCCAACGAUUGAAAACCGACGAAGUGAGUGCCAGUGGUAAGGCGCCGCUGCUACUGAAUCGUGUCAAUGAAAUAAUCCGCAAGGCCUGGGCGGUGCCGACUCACGGUCACGAGUUGGGCUACUCUCUGUGUAAUGCACUUCGCAACAAGGGUGGUUUGGAUAUUCUGAUGACGAACUGCAUUGCUAGUGACGAGGAUCUACAAUUUUCUUCCGCUCAAUUGCUCGAGCAGUGUCUCACGACCGAGAAUCGUGCUCACGUGGUGCAAAAUGGUCUGGAGAAGGUGGUGAAUGUUGCGUGUGUUUGCACGAAGAAUGCGAAUUCGGUGGAUCAUUCGCGAGUUGGAACUGGAAUUUUGGAGCAUCUUUUUAAGCACAGCGAGGGAACGUGCAGUGAUGUGGUGAGGCUCGGCGGUCUCGACGCUGUGCUCUUCGAAUGUCGAAAGAAUGACGUGGAAACACUGAGACAUUGUGCCGGCGCCUUGGCGAAUUUGUCACUUUAUGGCGGUGCGGAAAAUCAAGAGGCGAUGAUAAAAAGAAAAGUCCCAAUGUGGUUGUUUCCCCUAGCGUUUCACAAUGACGACAAUAUUAAAUAUUACGCGUGUCUUGCCAUUGCGGUCCUAGUGGCGAACAAUGAAAUCGAAGCAGCGGUUUUGUCCUCCGGCACACUUGAUCUCGUCGAGCCGUUCGUCACUUCGCACAAUCCGUACGAAUUCGCAAAAUCGAAUCUCGCCCACGCUCACGGUCAGAGUAAAAAUUGGCUUCAACGACUCGUGCCUGUUCUCAGCUCGAAACGCGAGGAGGCGAGGAAUCUAGCGGCUUUUCAUUUUUGCAUGGAGGCUGGCAUCAAGAAGCAGCAGGCGAAAACGGAAAUAUUCCGCGCGAUCGGCGCAAUUGAACCGCUGAAGAAAGUCGCCAGCUCGCCGAAUGCGAUCGCCUCGAAAUACGCGGCACAAGCUCUCCGGCUAAUUGGCGAGGAAGUUCCACAUAAAUUAAGUCAACAAGUUCCAUUGUGGUCGACGAAGGAUGUGAUGGAGUGGGUGAAGCAAAUUGGUUUCGAAGAAUUGGCGUCGAAUUUCGUCGACAGUCGAGUUGACGGCGAUCUUUUGCUGCAAUUGACAGAGGACAAUUUAAAGGAAGACAUUGGUUUGACGAACGGCAUCAGGCGGCGACGAUUCACGCGUGAAUUGCAAAAUUUGAAAAAAAUGGCCGACUACAGUAGUCGGGACACGGGGAAUCUCAGCAGUUUCCUCCAGUCGAUUGGACAGGAGUUUUCAAUCUACACGUACAGUAUGCUGAACGCGGGCGUUGACAAGGAUUCGAUAAAGAACCUCAAUGAGGAUCAACUUAUCACUGAGUGUGGGAUUUCGAAUAGUAUUCAUAGGUUACGGAUAUUGGACUCGAUCAAGAAUAUGCAGCACAAUCAAUUUAAUUCUUAUGAGAGUGAAUCGCCGGAUAAAUCGUUGGAUGUCUUUGUCAGUUAUCGAAGAUCGAAUGGAUCGCAAUUGGCAAGUCUUCUUAAAGUUCAUCUGCAACUGAGGGGAUUUUCCGUCUUCAUUGAUGUCGAGAGACUCGAGGCUGGGAAAUUCGAUAAUAAUCUACUUCAAAGUAUUCGACAGGCGAAACAUUUUCUCCUCGUUCUAACGCCAAAGGCUCUUGAACGGUGUAUUCAGGAUACCGAGUGCAAGGACUGGGUUCACAGGGAAAUUGUGGCCGCUCUGCAAUCACAAUGCAACAUCAUUCCGAUAAUAGAUAAUUUCGCGUGGCCAGAACCAGAGGAAUUGCCCGAAGACAUGAGAGCAGUUUGCCAUUUUAACGGUGUUCGUUGGAUUCACGAUUAUCAGGAUGCGUGCGUAGACAAAUUAGAGAGAUUUAUGCGAGGUGAAAUUCCAGUACGAUCAGAUUGUUCAGGAGGUCUUCCCAGAAGCAUUGGUUCCAAGGAUUUGCCAACACCCGGAACACCAGGCAGUACAAAUAUGAGACAACCACCGAGUUAUCAAAGAAUGCACAGCAAUGAAAGUAAAGGAAGUGACAAAGAUUCGGUUAGCGGGAAGGAUUCAAUCAGCGGCAAAGAUUCGAUCUGUGGGAAAGAUUGACUAGAUGGCCCGCCCACAGCUAUACCAGUUAGCCGGGAUUAAGAAAAAUGCAAUUUGCAAAUGAGAAUUAGGCUUCGAAAGUCGUCCAGUCCGUCCGGUCGAUUAUUGAGUCUUCCUCCGUCCGCUCGAGUGAAAUUCGUUCAUACACAUCCGGGAGGAAAUCCAAUGCCUCG